GAUUAUAUGAUGCUUAAAUUUUCUGACAUCUCUAAUGAACCGUUGUGAUUCAAUCUCCAUACUAUAUUCAACUGAUGAC